GGAGAGGUGUCCGAGUGGCUUAAGGAGCACGCUUGGAAAGCGUGUGUACGCCAUAAACGUACCGUGGGUUCGAAUCCCACCCUCUCCG
rfam:Chlamydiales bacterium 38-26 SCNpilot_expt_500_p_scaffold_0, whole genome shotgun sequence.